AUUAUUUUGGCAGAUUAGUGCUUUGGAUUUAGAAUCUAAGAAUAUGAUUUAUAUCAUAAAUAAUA
rnacentral:tRNA from 2 species